GGCGAUCAGAUACCGCCCUAGUUCUGACCGUAAACGAUGCCAACUAGCGAUCCGCCAGUCGACUCAUCGCUCUGGUGGGGAGCUUCCCGGAAACGAAAGUCUUCCGGUUCCGGGGGAAGUAUGGUUGCAAAGCUGAAACUUAAAGGAAUUGACGGAAGGGCACCACCAGGAGUGGAGCCUGCGGCUUAAUUUGACUCAACACGGGGAAACUCACCCGGCCCGGACACCGUAAGGAUUGACAGAUUGAUAGCUUUUUCAUGAUUCGGUGGAUGGUGGUGCAUGGCCGUUCUUAGUUCGUGGAGCGAUUUGUCUGGUUUAUUCCGAUAACGAGCGAGACUCUGGCCUACUAAAUAGUUGGCACAUUGCCACUGUGUGCCCAACUUCUUAGAGGGAUUUUCGGUGUUCAGCCGCACGAAAUUGAGCAAUAACAGGUCUGUGAUGCCCUUAGAUGUCCGGGGCUGCACGCGCGCUACACUGGCAAAAUCAGCGUGCUUGUCCUCCCCCGAAAGGGGUUGGUAAACCGAUGAAAAUUUGCCGUGAUUGGGAUCGGACAUUGCAAUUAUUGUCCGUGAACGAGGAAUCCCUUGUAAGGGCGAGUCAUCAACUCGUCCUGAAUACGUCCCUGCCCUUUGUA
rnacentral:rRNA from 1 species